rnacentral:rRNA from 1 species
UACGGAGGGUGCAAGCGUUGUUCGGAAUCAUUGGGCGUAAAGCGCGUGUAGGCGGUUGCCUAAGUCUGGUGUGAAAGCCCGGGGCUUAACCCCGGAAGUGCACUGGAUACUGGGCAGCUAGAGGGCAAGAGAGGGGAGUGGAAUUCCUGGUGUAGGGGUGAAAUCCGUAGAUAUCAGGAGGAACAUCGGUGGCGAAGGCGACUCCCUGGCUUGUUUCUGACGCUGAGACGCGAAAGCGUGGGUAGCAAACAGG